ncrna:unclassified sequences Rhodo-rpoB RNA
AGAUCGGGAGGCACUCUACGGGAAUGGUGCCGGGAAUUGAUCGAACUUGUGCUGUCUCAUUGGGGAACGCGACCGGUGCCCGACGGUUUCGUGUU